GUGCUAUAUUUAUAUAUGUUGAUAGAGAAACUAAAAUACACCUGCUAAAGUUGGGCAAAUAAGAGACAGACACCAAUGGCCAUGUGUUUUUAAAAAGAUGCAGGAAAGCAUAUAUUUUUGAAGGAGUACACACUAUCCCUACAUAUUAAAUAUGUUUUAAGCAAAGUGUGUGCUUUGAAAGAACUGAGGCCACUAUUAUAAAAAAAAUAUCUGGACAGCUUCACUUAUUUGUACUACCUAUCAGGACAUUUUUUGGUAACCUCUAUUUUUAUUUGCUACCUCUAUUUAUGAAAUAACUAUUUUGAACCAUUGAUAUUUCAAUAAGGCAGUGAUUUGAAACAUUAACUGCAUAUUGAAUCUUUCUACAAAACCACUCUAUGUGGGAAGGAUAUAAAAUGUGAGCUCUCAGGUUAGGUUUACAAGUUUUAAAAAGCUAGUGUUGCCCUGCUUUCUUUCUUCCUUUAGGCCACCUGUUCUUCACAGCUACAUCUUUUUUAUAAUCGGGAUUUACUUUACAUGUAGACCAGAAUUGUGUUUUCUGUGUGGAAAUUUCUUUAUGCAAUUAUAGCUCAUUCCUGCCUAGGAUGUUUCUUUGCAAUUUUCUGUAACUGCAAGGAGAACAUCUGAGAAAGGUGAUUCAUGUACACUAAAUUUUCCCAGUCUGCCUUGCAAGAUGAUAAUCUAAUCCUCUUGUGGAGUUUAACAGUCACCAUUAAUAAAAAGGAUGCUUGACCAUCACACAUAAACAUAUUGUUUUAAGUGCAUAGUAUUUCAAGCAAAAAUGCAAGAGAGAAAUGCCCUUGCUUUGCUCCUUGCUAACUAUUACCAUACGCUUAUUUGGCUGGUUGUAGUUUGGAAUGUGGGG